rnacentral:rRNA from 1 species
UACGAAGGGGGCUAGCGUUGCUCGGAAUUACUGGGCGUAAAGGGAGCGUAGGCGGAUAGUUCAGUCAGAGGUGAAAGCCCAGGGCUCAACCUUGGAACUGCCUUUGAUACUGGCCAUCUUGAGUUUGGGAGAGGUAUGUGGAACUCCGAGUGUAGAGGUGAAAUUCGUAGAUAUUCGGAAGAACACCAGUGGCGAAGGCGACAUACUGGCCCAAUACUGACGCUGAGGCUCGAAAGCGUGGGGAGCAAACAGG